rnacentral:rRNA from 1 species
UACAGAGGGGGCGAGCGUUAUUCGGAAUUAUUGGGCGUAAAGCGCACGUAGGCGGCAUUGCAAGUCGGAUGUGAAAUCCCUCGGCUUAACCAAGGAAGUGCAUCCGAAACUGCAGUGCUUGAGUACUUAAGAGGAUCGCGGAAUUCCCGGUGUAGAGGUGAAAUGCGUAGAUAUGUGGAGGAACACCGAUGGCGAAGGCAGCCCCCUGGGUCAAGAUUGACGCUCAUGCACGAAAGCGUGGGGAGCAAACAGG